GAUGAAGAACGUAGCGAAAUGCGAUAAGUAAUGUGAAUUGCAGAAUUCAGUGAAUCAUCGAAUCUUUGAACGCACCUUGCGCUCCUUGGUAUUCCAAGGAGCAUGCCUGUUUGAGUAUCAUUAAAUUAUCAACUGUGCCAAUUUGGUUACAGAUUGGAUGUGGGAGAUUCUUUUUGCAGGCCUUUGACUUCUCUUUGAGAAAAAAAAUAAAAGGUCGGCUCUCCUGAAAUGUAUUAGCAGUGCCUUUGUUGGUUCAUUAGGUGUGAUAAAUUGUCUACAUCUUCGCAUGAUACCUUCAUUUGUAAAGGUCAUAUUGCUUCUAAAUUGUCUUUGAUUGGACGCAAAACAGAUAUAAUGUUUGACAAACUUGAUCUCAAAUCAGGCAGGACUACCCGCUGAACUUAAGCAUAUCAAUAAGCGGAGGA
rnacentral:misc_RNA from 1 species